rnacentral:rRNA from 1 species
GUCGACGCAGAUGUAAAUCUGAGUGGCGGACGGGUGAGUAACGCGUGAGAAUCUGCCUCAAGGAGGGGAACAACAGUUGGAAACGACUGCUAAUGCCCCAUAUGCUGAGAAGUGAAAUAGAGUAAUCUGCCUUGAGAGGAGCUCGCGUCUGAUUAGUUUGUUGGUGGGGUAAAGGCCUACCAAGACUACGAUCAGUAGUUGGUCUUAGAGGAUGAUCAGCCACACUGGGACUGAGAUACGGCCCAGACUUCUACGGAAGGCAGCAGUGGGGAAUUUUCCGCAAUGGGCGCAAGCCUGACGGAGCAAUACCGCGUGAGGGAAGAAUGCCUGUGGGUUGUAAACCUCUUUUUUUAGGGAAGAAAGUUUGACGGUACCUAAAGAAUAAGCAUCGGCUAACUCUGUGCCAGCAGCCGCGGUAAUACAGGGGAUGCAAGCGUUAUCCGGAAUCACUGGGCGUAAAGAGUCUGUAGGUGGUUUAAUAAGUCUGCUGUUAAAUGUCAAAGCUUAACUUUGAAAAAGCAGUGGAAACUGCUAGACUAGAGCAUGGUAAGGGUAAAGGGAAUUCCCAGUGUAGCGGUGAAAUGCGUAGAUAUUGGGAAGAACACCAGUGGCGAAAGCGCUUUACUUGGCCAUUGCUGACACUCAGAGACGAAAGCUAAGGGAGCGAAUGGGAUUAGAUACCCCAGUAGUCUUAGCCGUAAACGAUGGAUACUAGAUGUUGCACGUAUCGAUCCGUGCAGUAUCGUAGCUAACGCGUUAAGUAUCCCGCCUGGGAAGUAUGCUCGCAAGAGUGAAACUC